rnacentral:piRNA from 1 species
UACAUACCAUUGGUAACCAUUUUUCCUUUA